CAGCCGCAGACCCGAGUCCCUGGACUGCCGCAGACACACUCUCCUUUGCCAGCUCAUAAUUCCAGCGGGCGAGGGAUGGGAGAUUACCCCAGCACUGCAAAAGUUUUGGGGGAAAGGAGACCAGCAGUGCCUCUUCCAACAUGACAGCAUGGGCAGGUCCUGCACAGCGCCGUACCGCUCCAGGCAGGAACACACUAAGCAAAGUCUGGCCACACACCCUCAGGGCAAGGGUGCCAGAUUCUCUGCACCAUCUUCCGCCAUCAUGGUGGUCAAGGAGGACAGGAGCUGUGAGUGAAGGGGAGGAUGCACACACAGACAGAUCACCCUUGAAUGGACAGAGCACCCAUGGAGGAUACAGCAGCCCUUUGAUGGGUGGACAGAGCACCCCUAGAUAAACAGAGCACCCCUGAAUGAGCACAGCGACCCCUUGGACCCCUUAAUGGACAGACAGAGCACCCCUAGACAGACAAAGCACCUCUGGAGCACUGGUAAUAUAUAAUAUGUAAUAAGGUGGCAAGGUGAUUAUUUGCCUUUGAACUAUUGAAAUUCAACAUCCGUUUACGUUUUCAAGAAUGUACCAAGUAACAAGUAUUUGCAAACUAGUGACAUCUCAGCUCUUUCAUCAACCUUUAUUUAGUUUGCAAACUAUUGAUCUGGCAAAGUGAAAUAUUGAUAAAUGGUCUGCUUCUCUUGAGAUAUCAAAUAUUCAGUUUACUUCUACUUUUGUGGUUUUGGGUAAUUUGAUAAGUUUCUGUUACAAUCCACUACUUGCAUGUUUUGAAUAGCGCAUAUGUUAUUUAAACAUUGCCAAAUGACUGCCAAAGUCUAUCACGAUGCCUCAAAACAGGCUUAUUUUCCUUUUAUGGAAAAUUUUGGGACUUAACU